CGGGAUCCGUUGCGCACGUGCACGCGGCUCUAACUAAGGGCAGUCGGGGAACUGGGCGGAGCGAGCUGGGCGGCGCGCGGCGCGCUGGGACUGUGAGGACACCUCGGCGGAGCCGCUGGAGCCGGCUUGGCUUGAGGAUGAAGAAGCUGUUUGGCAUCCAAAGAUGGACAUUACUCCUAAAGAGGAUAUUGGAAAAGGAAGAACUCCUCAGAAGGUGAAGUCAAGAGUCAAGAAGUACAAUAGACUGUGAAGCUACUCCUAGGAAACAAAACCAAAGAUUGAUUAAGCCAAGUUCCUUACACAGAGAUUAGUAGACCUUGUAACCAUUCCUUCAUGGGAUUUCAGAACUUCUGUGAACCAGUGAUUUCUGGGUUCCCCCCUUUUCCCCUCUUUCUAAAUAAAAGCGUUUGUUGUGGUUACAC